AACGAGCGAAGCUUGUGCGCGGAAAACAGAGAAAUAUCGAGAAAAGGAAGGGAAGAAAGAAAGAGUCUGAUUUGGUAUAUCGAAGUAGAAAGUUCUGUGAAGACCCUGAUGUGUCUACUCGAGGUCAUACCUCGAAAUUCCAGACUGUAGAACGAGAGAAGCGAAUAGAGGCAAACGAGCACGCUGGGAGGUGCGUGUUACUGAAAUGCGAGCAACCGAGCAUUCAGAAAACGACGACGAGCUGAACGAGCAGUUAUAAGUUCCCAUGAGUCGCCCACGCCACGUGAGGAAGGUGCUCGGUGAUGUCGUCGUCGCUCGUCGUCGGAGGCAUAAAAGUGUCCAGAGACCGAGACCCGAAGAUCUCAAGUGCUCGGACCACCUUGCAUGCUGCGUGGGCGAUCCGCUCGCGAGCAGUUAGCGCGGCUUGCGCAACUUUGGUUUCAGGAGGUCAGAGCUGUGAUCCGGUUAAGUGUUCGGUAGCUGCGAUGACGAUGACUCAUGGAUACAAGAAGAUCUAAUUAAAUCUGUAAGAACAUUAAUCGUCUAUUUAUAUCUUUGCAUUGAGUAUUUAAGUGUUAAAUUCACGAGUGCAAACUUUUAUAUUCUUAUUUUCC
rnacentral:lncRNA from 1 species